rnacentral:rRNA from 1 species
AUACGUAGGUGACAAGCGUUAUCCGGAUUUACUGGGCGUAAAGGGCGUGUAGGCGGUCUUGCAAGUCAGAAGUGAAAUUCCUGAGCUCAACUCGGGCGCUGCUUCUGAAACUGCAGGACUUGAGUGCUGGAGGGGAUAGCGGAAUUCCUAGUGGAGCGGUAAAAUGCGCAGAUAUUAGGAAGAACACCGGUGGCGAAGGCGGCUAUCUGGACAGUAACUGACGCUGAGGCGCGAAAGCGUGGGGAGCAAACAGGAUUAGAUACCCUUGUAGUCCACGCCGUAAACGAUGAAUACUAGGUGUAGGGGGUAUCGACUCCCUCUGUGCCGCAGUUAACACAAUAAGUAUUCCGCCUGGGAGUACGGCCGCAAGGUUGAAACUCAAAUGAAUUGACGGGG